rnacentral:rRNA from 1 species
AGUGAACGCUGGCGGUAGGCCUAACACAUGCAAGUCGAACGGCAGCACAGUAAGAGCUUGCUCUUACGGGUGGCGAGUGGCGGACGGGGGAGGAAUACAGCGGAAUCUACUUUUUCGUGGGGGAUAACGUAGGGAAACUUACGCUAAUACCGCAUACGACCUACGGGUGAAAGCAGGGGAUCUUCGGACCUUGCGCGAUUGAAUGAGCCGAUGUCGGAUUAGCUAGUUGGCGGGGUAAAGGCCCACCAAGGCGGCGAUCCGUAGCUGGUCUGAGAGGAUGGUCAGCCACACUGGAACUGAGACAGAGUGCUGACACCGAAAGGAAGCAGCGGUGCAGAAUAUUAGGCGAUGGGGGCGAGCCUAAUCCAGCCAUACCGCGUGAGUGAAGAAGGCGUUCGGGUUGGAGAGCCAUGAUGGUAUGAAAGAAGAGAAGCACGUUAAUACCCCGCUAUACUGACGGUACCCAAGGAAUAAGCACCGGCUAAAUUCGUG